AGCUGCUCCUGGUCCGUAACGUCGCACUGGAGGAACACCGUCCUCUGCGGUUCGAACUGCUCGUCCAGAGCCGCCUUGCUCUCCUGCCCGGCCUCCGAGUUGCGGUCCAGCAGAGCUACCUGACCGGGAAGCCGAAUUACCCCACCAGCCUUCUUCCUCUCACUCUGCCAGUAGAAUCUGUUUGUGUGAAAAAGUAGCCAUUAAACAUUCUGGUUAUUAGACAUCAAGAGAAGGGUUUUUGAGACACUUUCAGGAUGCCUUCAUGUAUGGAAUCCCGUUCUUUCCUAUUAACUAGAAGAACCAAAUUAUAUUGCUCCUAACACCAGCAAACUGUUAAAGAACCAUUAAGGGAAAUCAGAGAAAUUCCACAAUUGUCUUGUCUGCAAAAAACUGGAAGACCUACAGAAUACCUGGAAUGUAGUAUAGAUUGCCAUCUGGUCAGAAGAAUGAUGUGGUGACAUUCAGAAGUAAUAUGGAAAAAUGAACCGAAACUCAAUGAAAAGAUAUGAAAAAGAAAGCAAAAGAACUGUCAAGUGAUGCACCUACAGGAAAUCACACUUAUCACUUCAGAUGAAAUUAUGAAAUUAGUUGAAAUUCUCAAAUGUCAACACUAUGGCACUUUUGUUCAAAAGAAGUUUAUGCUUUUAAGUUUUUUUUUUUGCGCUUGUUGUUAUGAAAUGCAUGAAACUGAACCAGAAAAUGAGUAACAACAACAACAACAACAACAACAACAACAACAACAACAACAACAACAACAAUUUCUAUAAAACUAUCUGUAUUGAGUUCUUAAUUUCUUAAAGGAAUGUAACUGCUGAUAUUAGUUGGAGAAAAUACGAAAACAAUCCAUAAAUCUUUCUUUCAGGCGUGGUCAAUGUAACCUUAAAUUUAAUAUUAAAAUUAGCAUCAGUUAUUUAAAAUAUAUAUAUAUAGAAAUGUGUAAUAAAGUAGUUCUAUGUCAAAGGGCAGACCUUAGCUAAUACUUAAAAUUUAAGCCAGUAGCCUGAUUUGUGAAGCCAGUAGCCUGAUUUGUGAAUUUUUUUAACUAUUAGAAGUUUACAGUCAAUUACUAGAUAUUAUUUACGAUUAUUUAAAAUGUUUACAACUAUCAAAUAAACUGCAUUUGCUAGUCAUUUGAGCGUAAUGUAUUAUGGGCUUUCUAACUGAGAUUCUCAGAUGCAUCUUGAUUUACAGAGGGUUUUAAUGAACUCCUCUAUGCAGCUUGGUAAGAGGCGCACAUUAUGCUAGUAUAGGCACCUUCAUUUUUUAUGAAUGUAGCUGCACUCAUCUUUCUGUCGAGAUUAAAAUCUCUAACUGAAAUAUCUAGUAAAAAUCUAUGUGGAGAUCAGGCAUCACCUGCACAUGCUGAAUUAAUUUGCUGAGACCUACAAAUUAGUUCCUGUUUGUGUAAUAGAGUUCACUUCACAUGACCAAUAGGAAGAUACCAAAAUUCUCAAUAUUGAACCAAUACUGAUCUAAGUUCAAAUUGGCCAUUAUAUUCUUGGAUAUGUGAAAAUUUUACUAAUAAGUACAUUCCCCUAAGAGGAUAUAACUAACUGGAUAACUCUUUUCCAUUUUAUAUUUUUGUUAUCAAGCAUGCAGUAAUAAUCUUCUAUUUUCAGAACUGAAGACAUCUGAAAACAUUUCUUGCUACUGGAAAAAAAUUAUCUUUGACUAUAUUAUGAAACUAAAACUGAAACUAAACCUCCUGACCUGGUUUUGCUGGGAUGGUAAACCUAUAAUAGACUGCAAAAAAUUUUAUGUGGAGCUAUAUAAGUAAGUCUUCUGAUGCAUUUCAGAAAUCAUAUAAAACCAGAAUAAACAGCCACAUCAAAUAUGGUAGCAUACUUAGCUAUUUAAUAAGGCUAUUAGCAUGUCAUUUUAAAUCACAACACAGAAAAUCUGAUAGAAAAUUAUUAUGAAAUAAAUGAGGACCUGGAAUUUUAGAAUGUCUUAUGCAAAGGGAGAUGUAUAACAUGCCAUUAAGAUUGUAGAGUGAAAUAAAUAAAACAAUUUAACAUCUAAGAACAGAUUCAAACUAACUUAUUUUUGCAAUGAUUUUCAUAAUGGUGGACAGAAAGGUGAAUAUGUGCCCACACUGUGCCUUUGCAGCAAUGAAAGCAAGAAACCUUCUGGGCUACAUCAGGCAUCACCAGCAGGCAAAGGGAGGUGAUUUUUUCCCCUCUGCUCAGCUCUGGUGAGAUGCAUCUGGUGUGCUAGGUCCAGUAUCUUUGUAGUGAUAAAAGUAGUUGUGAAAUGUGAGACUUCUCCAUAAAACUGAACUGCAAAUUCUCAGCCAUUGUA